rnacentral:lncRNA from 1 species
CUAAUAUUACCCUGAUACUAAAACCAGAAAAAGACAGUGAAAAAAAAAAAAAAGAAAGAAAAGAAGCAUUGAUGCGGCUGUCCAGCCUGUUGGAUCAGCUGCAACCCACCCUGGUAUGGACUGAGGGGUCUCCCUGGGCUGGGCCGAGCAGGAGGAGGCUGAGCAGUGAAAACGGUGACCCCUGCCCUCACGGAGCUAACGAGAAGAGCAAAUGGCUGGCAACGGUGCAUGACACAGAAUGAGCAACGGGCUGCACACAUCGCGAUUUACGUGGCUUUGGAAAAAACGCGUCUCACAAGUUGGGGCUGUCAUACAUUGGCUUCUUGGUAAUCAAUGCGUUUCAGCAAUAUAUGGGGGUGAGUUUAGUUUCCAGUUGGCUUCCCUGAGGGUGUUGGAUAAAAUUGCAAUUUAGAUUCAA